AGAGCGAACGCUGGCGGCAGGCUUAACACAUGCAAGUCGAACGGGCUUCUUCGGAAGUCAGUGGCAGACGGGUGAGUAACACGUGGGAACGUGCCCUUCGGUUCGGAAUAACUCAGGGAAACUUGAGCUAAUACCGGAUACGCCCUUUUGGGGAAAGGUUGACUGCCGAAGGAUCGGCCCGCGUCUGAUUAGCUUGUUGGUGGGGUAACGGCCUACCAAGGCGACGAUCAGUAGCUGGUCUGAGAGGAUGAUCAGCCACACUGGGACUGAGACACGGCCCAGACUCCUACGGGAGGCAGCAGUGGGGAAUAUUGGACAAUGGGCGCAAGCCUGAUCCAGCCAUGCCGCGUGAGUGAUGAAGGCCUUAGGGUUGUAAAGCUCUUUUGUCCGGGACGAUAAUGACG
rnacentral:rRNA from 1 species